GAUGAACGCUGGCGGCGUGCCUAAUACAUGCAAGUCGAGCGAACGGACGAGAAGCUUGCGUCUCUGAUGUUAGCGGCGGACGGGUGAGUAACACGUGGAUAACCUACCUAUAAGACUGGGAUAACUUCGGGAAACCGGUGCUAAUACCGGAUAAUAUUUUGAACCGCAUGGUUCAAAAGUGAAAGACGGUCUUGCUGUCACUUAUAGAUGGAUCCGCGCUGCAUUAGCUAGUUGGUAAGGUAACGGCUUACCAAGGCAACGAUGCAUAGCCGACCUGAGAGGGUGAUCGGCCACACUGGAACUGAGACACGGUCCAGACUCCUACGGGAGGCAGCAGUAGGGAAUAUUCCGCAAUGGGCGCAAGCCUGACGGAGCCACGCCGCGUGAGUGAUGAAGGUCUUCGGAUCGUAAAACCCUGUUAUUAGGGAAGAACAUAUGUGUAAGUAAAUGUGCCCAUCUUGACGGUACCUAAUCAGAAAGCCCCGGCUAACUACGUG
rnacentral:rRNA from 1 species